GUGUGAGUGAUUUAGAGUUUGUCUCUAGAAAGUGAGUGAGUGUCAUUGCUUCUAAAGUGUGUCUUUGUUUCCUUUUGAGUGUUGUAAUAUUUUGUGUGUGUAAUACAAGUAAUUUGUUUACUUGUGUACUCUAAGUUUUUCCUCAACAUUGUUGAUGGACGAAGUUGGGUGACGGAAAGGCAAAAAGAUAUGUGGGCUAGGAGCGGGUCGAGUUCAAGACCUUCGGGGGUCGAUCUUCUACAUCUAGGUCUCAGAUCCCAUGCAGGACGUCUUCUAGACUGCAGCAUAUG
rnacentral:lncRNA from 1 species